CCAGGAAAACCACAGAGUGUUGGCAGAGUGAGAGCGGGAGGGGGGAGUGGAGCGUAAUAAGGUAUAAAUGCUCCGCACUGAGGACGCUGCAGUCAGACCCUUCUCAGGAGAACACAGUCCAUACAGGAGAAGACUCUGCAGGAAACGGUCGCUGACAUCAUCACAGUGUGAACAUAGCUUUACAUUGGAUUUACAGAAUGAAUCUCCUGUCGUCUCUGGUUCUGCUCGGAUCUCUGGCUCUGACUCUGGGGUGCAGUGGUCCUGAUCCAGGAGCCAUUAAUAUAGCAAGACUUGGAGAAGCCUCCCAGGACUCGGACUAUACAGAAGAAUCAACCGCCAUAAAGGCUAUAGAUGGUAACACAGACCCAAUUUACUCCUCAAAGUCCUGCACUCACACCAAU